rnacentral:rRNA from 1 species
GACGUAGGGCGCGAGCGUUGUCCGGAUUUAUUGGGCGUAAAGAGCUCGUAGGCGGCCUGUCGCGUCGGUUGUGAAAGCUCGGGGCUCAACCCCGGGUCUGCAGUCGAUACGGGCAGGCUAGAGUUCGGUAGGGGAGAUCGGAAUUCCUGGUGUAGCGGUGAAAUGCGCAGAUAUCAGGAGGAACACCGGUGGCGAAGGCGGAUCUCUGGGCCGAUACUGACGCUGAGGAGCGGAAGCGUGGGGAGCGAACAGG